rnacentral:rRNA from 1 species
GACGAACGCUGGCGGCGUGCUUAACACAUGCAAGUCGAGCGGAGCGGCGAACGGGUGAGUAACGCGAGAGUAACUGCCCCCCCCUCUGGGAUAACAGUUGGAAACGGCUGCUAAUACCGGAUAGUGGGGGAUGACUCGCGUCCUAUCAGCUUGUUGGUGGGGGAGUGGCCUACCAAGGCGACGACGGGUAGCCGGGCUGAGAGGGCGACCGGCCACAGAGGAAAGGGGAGCAGCCCCAACUCAUGCGGGGGGAAGCAGGGGGGGUUAGUGCACCAUGGGGGGAACCCUGAUGCAGCAACGCCGCGUGCUGGAUAGCGGCCUUCGGAUUGUAAACCGCUUUCAGCCGUGACGCGGUAGUGAAAGAAGGAGCACCGGCUAACUACGAGCCAGCAGCCGCGGUAGUAC